AUUCCAGCUCCAAUAGCGUAUAUUAAAGUUGUUGCGGUUAAAAAGCUCGUAGUUGGAUCUCAGUUCCGGACCGACGGUGCGCCCUCGGCGAUUUACUGUCGGUCCGAACAGCUAGUCGGCUCGCUCGGGGUGCUCUUCACCGGGUGUCCCGCGUGGCCGGCAUGUUUACUUUGAAAAAAUUAGAGUGCUCAAAGCAGGCUAAUGCCUGAAUAGUUGUGCAUGGAAUAAUGGAAUAGGACCUCGGUUCUAUUUUGUUGGUUUUCGGAACCCGAGGUAAUGAUUAAUAGAGACGGACGGGGGCAUUCGUAUUGCGACGCUAGAGGUGAAAUUCUUGGACCGUCGCAAGACGUACUACUGCGAAAGCAUUUGCCAAGAACGUUCUCAUUAAUCAAGAACGAAAGUUAGAGGUUCGAAGGCGAUCAGAUACCGCCCUAGUUCUAACCAUAAACGAUGCUGACUAGCGAUCCGUCUGUGUUAAUCCCAUGACUAGACGGGCAGCUUCCGGGAAACCAAAGUCUUUGAGUUCCGGGGGAAGUAUGGUUGCAAAGCUGAAACUUAAAGGAAUUGACGGAAGGGCACCACCAGGAGUGGAGCCUGCGGCUUAAUUUGACUCAACACGGGGAACCUCACCAGGCCCGGACACCGGAAGGAUUGACAGAUUGAGAGCUC
rnacentral:rRNA from 1 species